GAUGAACGCUGACAGAAUGCUUAACACAUGCAAGUCGACUUGAAGCAACUUCGGUUGUGGAAAGUGGCGGACGGGUGAGUAACGCGUAAAGAACUUGCCCUUCAGUCUGGGACAACCAUUGGAAACGAUGGCUAAUACCGGAUAUUAUGGAACUCUCGCAUGGGAGGAUCAUGAAAGCUAUAUGCGCUGAAGGAGAGCUUUGCGUUCCAUUAGCUAGUUGGUGAGGUAACGGCUCACCAAGGCGACGAUGGAUAGCCGGCCUGAGAGGGUGAUCGGCCACAAGGGGACUGAGACACGGCCCUUACUCCUACGGGAGGCAGCAGUGGGGAAUAUUGGACAAUGGACCAAAAGUCUGAUCCAGCAAUUCUGUGUGCACGAUGAAGGUUUUCGGAUCGUAAAGUGCUUUCAGUUGGGAAGAAGAAAGUGACGGUACCAACAGAAGAAGCGACGGCUAAAUACGUGCCAGCAGCCGCGGUAAUACGUAUGUCGCAAGCGUUAUCCGGAUUUAUUGGGCGUAAAGCGCGUCUAGGCGGGUUCAUAAGUCUGAUGUUAAAAUGCGGGGCUCAACUCCGUAUUGCGUUGGAAACUGUGAACCUAGAGUAUCAGAGAGGUGGGCGGAACUACAAGUGUAGAGGUGAAAUUCGUAGAUAUUUGUAGGAAUGCCGAUGGAGAAGUCAGCUCACCGGAUGAAUACUGACGCUAAAGCGCGAAAGCGUGGGUAGCAAACAGG
rnacentral:rRNA from 1 species